CGUAACUUGAGGACGCUAAAGUUUUUGAACCGUUUUGAGCGGUGGAAUCAGUGCCUGUGGGCAACAUGAGCAAACGUGAAGAGUCAUGGUUGAGGCUGGACACUGAGUUUGACCAUUUUCUACUGGACAUGAAGCCAUAUGUCCUCAAACACUCCAACAAGACAGACCGUCAGCAGUGUGCCAUAUGGAUAAAGAAACUGUGCGACCCGGCCACGUGUGCCUCAGGUCUGGAUGGACGCAAGAACCGCAACAUGUAUGCCCUAUUGCUUCUUCACAUGCUGAAAAGAGGGGUUCUGGAAGCUCCUUUCAACAGCAAACCAGAGCCUGGCAAUCUUAAGACCCUCCCUACCUAUAUGUCCAUCUACUUUGACGAGCCACUGAGUGGUCGGUCUUUGGAGAACAACACAGCACAUCUGCCUGACUGGGUGACAGGAGAGCUUGGUGGAUAUACAGAUGACAGUUUCAGUGCCAGUCUGCUCAAGGACAGAACCAGUUCCACACCUAUUGCGGCUCUUCACAGGAGAAAGCUGUAUGAGGAGAGGAGCUCAUCACGACCCGCAGGCUCCAGUCCACUCAAACAGUCCUCCAAACAUGAUGUUAGAGAGGUGGACAGGGGGUUGAAAGCAGACACGUCUCAUGAUGACAGUGACUUGGAGGCUCGUCUCAACAGCUGGAACCUAGGGAUUGAAAACCCCAGGUAUUUGCGAGAGAAGCCUAUCCCCUGGUCUCCGAUUUUCAAGUCAAGCUUUGGGAGGAACAGCGCCUUGACUGAUGAUCAGGGCCCACAGCUUGUGCAGAGCAAGGAGACUGAGAUGAAGAUAAAGGUUCUGGAGUCCAAGCACCAGGAGGAGAAACUAAAGAUGCAGCAGAGACAUGAUGCAGAUGUUGAGAAAAUCCUGGACCGCAAGAAUGGUGAGAUUGAGGAGAUGAAGAGCAUGUACCGGGCCAAACAGAAGGAGUCAGAGGAGAUGAUCCACAAGCUGGAGAAGAAAGUUCAAAGUGUGCUGCGGGAAUCCCAGGUCAUCUGCGAGAGCAAAGAAAAACAGAUUACUGAGCUGAAGAAGAUGUUGGAUCAGAGCACUGACUCCCUGAAAAACGAGUGGGAAAAGAAGCUGCAUGCUGCUGUCACAGAGGUGGAGCAGCAGAAGUUUGAACUGCAGAAGAAACACACCAACAACAUCCAGGAGCUGCUGGAGGACACCAACCUUAGACUGGCUAAGAUGGAGGCAGAGUAUAAUUCCCGGGCACAGGCCACUGAGCAAACGGUGCAUGAGCUGGAGCGGCGCGUGAAACAGCAGUCUGCGGAGGUGGAAAAGGGCAACGAGCUGCGUCAGAGGGUGACACAGGAGAAGGCCCAGCUGGAGAUCCACAUUGCAUCAAUCAGUGUUGAACUCCAGGAGGCCAAAAGACGGUCUGCAAAGCUGCAGGAGGAGAAGGAGCUGCAGAGUGAGCAGCACGAGCAGACGGUGCAGAAGCUCCAAGCCAAACAUGAGACGGACAUAAGCCACUUGUAUCAGGAGCAUUCACUGUCUGCUGCUAAGGCCUCUGAGGUAAUGGAAGACUUGGAGAAAACGGUGGCUCUGCUCAAACAGCAGCUGCAAGACAGUGAACAUCGAAGACACCAACUAGCCAGGGAUCAAGAGAUAAAGUUUCAGCAGGAAAAAGACAAACUGCAGAUCAACUGUGAGAAAAAGGUUUUAGCGAUCCACAGUGAAGCAGAGAAGGAGAAAUCGGAGGCUAAGAGGAAGAUGGCCAAACUAGAGGAUGCACUCAGGGAGAUGGAGAGCCAGUUGGACAGAGCCAGGGAGAGCCAGAGGCAGCAGAUCCAGCAGGCAGAUAUGGCACUGGAGCAGUUUAAGAAACAGGUGGAGCUCAGCUCUGAGAAGACCUACGCAGACAUGAAGCUCCAGAUGGGGAAGGUAGAGGAGGACCUGAUCCGAUCCAAGUCCCUCAGGGAGAAGCAGGCCAAAGAGUUCUCUGAGCAACUUGAUGCACUCAGACAGAAAUAUGAACAGCAGAUGGCUGAGCAGCGCAUGCAGCACGAGCAAGAAAGGACGCGGCUACAGCAACAGCACAUCGCGGAAAAGGACAGCCUGGUCCAGGAGCAACAGCGGGAGGUGGAGAGUGUGGAGAGGCAGGCCAGGGCCACACUGCAACAGCACCAACAGCACACCCAAGAGUGGAGGAAGCACAACGCUCAGACUGUACACGAUCUCGAAGCUCAGCUGUCAAGUCUGCACGAUGAACUCAAGAGGACCCAGGCCCAUCAUCAGAAACAGCUUGCAGAGCAGGCAGCGCUUCGGGAAGAGGAAAAGCAAAGGGCUUUCCUGGACAAGGAGGCGACCCUGGACCGCCUCCGGUCUGACAUGGAGCGCAUGCGCAGUGACCUUGAGAGAAGCAACCAGCAGGUGAAGGACGCUGCUCAGGAAAAGACCAACAGCAGGUUGAAGCAGAUUGAGAAGGAGUACAGUCAGAGGCUCACCAAGUCUGCCCAGCUAAUUGCCGAGCUGCAGACGUCUGUAUGUGACUCGAAAGACGAGGCUGUUCGUCUGCAGCAGGCGAUGGAGCGGCAGCUGGAGGAGGCCGGUGCGCGGUGGGACAAGGAGAGGAGGACAGUAACUCACCACGCCGAUCAGGCAAACAAGGCUCUGCAGGAAAAAAUGGAAAGUCUUCAGAGGCAGCUUCACUGCUCAGAGAAGAAGCUCCUGAGCAAGGAGCUUGAAACGGAAGAAAAGGUCACUGUGGUGCGUCGGGAGUAUGAGGAGAAGAUUAAAGGUUUGAUGCCAACGGAGAUCCGACAAGAACUGGAGGACACCAUCACGUCUCUCAAAUCUCAGGUGAACUUCCUUCAGAAGAGAGCGUCUCUGCUACAGGAAGACCUGGAUGCCUGUCGCACCAAGAGGUAACAAAUGGAAGAACCCCAGUCUGACCAUGUGCCGGGACAUGAAGGACAAGUUGUCUAAUCAGAUGAUCUAUCAGUAAAAGCAAACUCAAAGAGAGAAAGAUGCUGGAUUUGUGCUAUUAGACACGCCUCCAUUCCUGGGGAAGGAACAAAAAGAAUGGCAACCGUCGAAGAACACACUUCUUUGCAGCAGGUGUCAAUGGUGCCACUGAUGACCCAUUGUCCCCAGACUGGGUUUCCUCCGUCCUCUCACACUCUCCAGCCGCCAAGAAGAGGAAACGAGAGAAAGACUUGGAGAGACAUGAGCAUCCAGAAGAAGAGUGUGACGGAGAAAAGGGAACACGAUGCAGUGGAUGUGUUGGAAGUAUAAUCAAAGCCUCUGCCAGCUGCUGAGGAGAGUGUUUCUUGUCACAAACGUGUGACAAGAAACCGAGCAAGGAAAAGAUUCCAAUAUUACAGAGGGAAUGUAAUGAACUCAGGGAGGAAAACCAUAGACUUAAGCAAAUCACAAAGUCUGGAACAUUUGACGAAGUGAAAAGGAGUAUGAAAAAGUGAAGACAAUGACUUGUAUCCCCCAUGUAUUCCAAACUGCACACAGUUAUAACAUUUAUGAUAUCAUUUCUGUUGAAUAUAAUAUAAAUAUAGUAGGUUGCCGUGUAUAAAGUGGGAAACACUGUGCGGCCUGUGUUGAAUAAAGCAUUU